rnacentral:rRNA from 1 species
ACGCGUGGAACCUUACCAGGUCUUGACAUCCCGGUGACCACUAUGGAGACAUAGUUUCCCCUUCGGGGGCAACGGUGACAGGUGGUGCAUGGUUGUCGUCAGCUCGUGUCGUGAGAUGUUGGGUUAAGUCCCGCAACGAGCGCAACCCUUAUUCUUAGUUGCCAUCAUUCAGUUGGGCACUCUAAGGAGACUGCCGGUGAUAAACCGGAGGAAGGUGGGGAUGACGUCAAAUCAUCAUGCCCCUUAUGACCUGGGCUACACACGUGCUACAAUGGACGGUACAAACGGUUGCGAAGUCGCGAGAUGGAGCUAAUCUGAUAAAACCGUUCUCAGUUCGGAUUGUAGGCUGCAACUCGCCUACAUGAAGCUGGAAUCGCUAGUAAUCGCGGAUCAGCAUGCCGCGGUGAAUACGUUCCCGGGCCUUGCACACACCGCCCGU